rnacentral:misc_RNA from 1 species
GAUGAAGAACGCAGCGAAAUGCGAUAAGUAAUGUGAAUUGCAGAAUUCAGUGAAUCAUCGAAUCUUUGAACGCACCUUGCGCUCUUUGGUAUUCCGAAGAGCAUGCCUGUUUGAGUGUCAUGAAAAUAUCAACCUUGACUUGGGUUUUGUGCUCUAGUCUCGGCUUGGAAUUGGGUGCUUGCCGCUUUUACGAGCGGCUCACCUUAAAUGUAUUAGCUGGAUCUGUCUUUGAGACUUGGUUUGACUUGGCGUAAUAAGUAUUUCGCUAAGGACAUUCUUCGGAGUGGCCUCGUUUCUAGGACGCUUGUCCGCUUUCCAAUACAAGUUCCACCUCGUGGACAUGACUUUUUAUUAUCUGGCCUCAAAUCAGGUAGGACUACCCGCUGAACCUAAGCAUAUCAAUAAGCGGAGGA